rnacentral:snoRNA from 1 species
GAUGUGACUCGACAACCGAGGCCGAUGUAAACGCCGUCGCAGAUGGACGUUGACUAUUGCAUAGAAAACAGUACGUUAACUUCACCGUCCCGUC